rnacentral:rRNA from 1 species
CAAAUGAAUUGACGGAACCCGCACAAGCGGUGGAGUAUGUUGUUUAAUUCGAAGAUACACGAAGAACCUUACCAGGUCUUGACAUCCCGAUGCUAUUUCUAGAGAUAGAAAGUUACUUCGGUACAUCGGUGACAGGUGGUGCAUGGUUGUCGUCAGCUCGUGUCGUGAGAUGUUGGGUUAAGUCCCGCAACGAGCGCAACCCCUAUUGUUAGUUGCCAUCAUUCAGUUGGGCACUCUAGCGAGACUGCCGGUAAUAAACCGGAGGAAGGUGGGGAUGACGUCAAAUCAUCAUGCCCCUUAUGACCUGGGCUACACACGUGCUACAAUGGUUGGUACAACGAGUUACGAGUCGGUGACGGCGAGCUAAUCUCUUAAAGCCAAUCUCAGUUCGGAUUGUAGGCUGCAACUCGCCUACAUGAAGUCGGAAUCGCUAGUAAUCGCGGAUCAGCACGCCGCGGUGAAUACGUUCCCGGGCCUU